CCGUUUAUAGUUACAUUUAAUGUAACUUUAGCUCCUGUUGUCACUUAUCUAUAAAAAGUGGUUCUGUCACCAGCGUGUGUUAGUGAGGAAGCGCAAAGUGUAAACUCUGUCCUGAAGAUGUCGGGAAACGUACAGUUACAGCUUCACCUCUGACUGUUACACAGCGCUGAGUGUGGUCAUGUUUUGGAUUUUCUAAGAAUGCUGAGGGAACGUUAAGAGAAGACGGUAACCCUGUGUGCAGAACCUUCCGGAAGAAAGAUGCUGUGAAAGGCGACUUUAGCGCAUCUUUUUUCCCCUCGCUUUUAACUCGCUUAUGAACGAGUCGCAUUUCACUUCCGCUUCGGCAACAACUGCUCGCAUGGCGGUUCGUUAUUAUUCUCAAUGAAACACAACAACAAAACAGUACACUGACAAAUUCGCUUAUAUUAUAUUAUAUUAUAUUAUAUUAUGUUAUAUUAUGUUAUGUUAUAUUAUAUCAUAUUAUAUUAUAUCAUAUUAAAUCUUCCGCCAUCAUCAUGUCACUCAGCUCGCCUCAUUCUUCCUCACUCUUCCUUACUCAGCUCGCCUCACUCUUCCUUACUCGGCUCGCCUCACUCUUCCUCACUCUGCUUGCCUCAAUCUUCCUCACUCGGCUCCCCUCACUCUUCCUCACUCGGCUCCCCUCACUCUUCCUCACUCUUCCUUACUCAGCUCGCCUCACUCUUCCUUACUUGGCUCCCCUCACUCUUCCUCACUCGGCUCCCCUCACUCUUCCUCACUCUUCCUUACUCAGCUCGCCUCACUCUUCCUUACUUGGCUCCCCUCACUCUUCCUUACUCGGCUCGCCUCACUCUUCCUCACUCUGCUUGCCUCAAUCUUCCUCACUCGGCUCCCCUCACUCUUCCUCACUCUCACUCUGCUCGCCUCACUCUUCCUCACUCUUCCUUACUCAGCUCGCCUCACUCUUCCUUACUCGGCUCACCUCACUCUUCCUCACUUGGCUGGCCUCACUCUUCCUCACUCUGCUCGCCUCACUCUUCCUCACUCUGCUCGCCUCACUCUUCCUCACUCUGCUCGCCUCACUCUUCCUCACUCUGCUCGCCUCACUCUUCCUCACUCUGCUCGCCUCAAUCUUCCUCACUCGGCUCCCCUCACUCUUCCUCACUCGGCUCACCUCACUCUUCCUCACUUGGCUGGCCUCACUCUUCCUCCAUCUUACUCACUCUUCCUUACUCGGCUCACCUCACUCUUCCUCAAUCUUCCUCACUCGGCUCCCCUCACUCUUCCUCAAUCUUCCUCACUCGGCUCCCCUCACUCUUCCUCACUUGGCUCCCCUCACUCUUCCUCACUUGGCUCCCCUCACUCUUCCUUACUCGGCUUCCCUCACUCUUCCUUACUCGGCUCCCCUCACUCUUCCUUACUUGGCUCCCCUCACUCUUCCUUACUCGGCUCCCCUCACUCUUCCUUACUCGGCUCCCCUCACUCUUCCUUACUCGGCUCCCCUCACUCUUCCUCACUCUUCCUUACUCGGCUCCCCUCACUCUUCCUCACUCUUCCUUACUCGGGUCCCCUCACUCUUCCUUACUCGGCUCCCCUCACUCUUCCUCACUCUUCCUUACUCGGCUCCCCUCACUCUUCCUCACUCUUCCUUACUCGGCUCCCCUCACUCUUCCUCACUCUUCCUCACUCGGCUCCCCUCACUCUUCCUUACUCGGCUUCCCUCACUCUUCCUCACUCUUCCUCACUCGGCUCCCCUCACUCUUCCUCACUCGGCUCCCCUCACUCUUCCUCACACUUCCUUACUCGGCUCACCUCACUCUUCCUCACUUGGCUGGCCUCACUCUUCCUUACUUGGCUUGCCUCACUCGGCUCGCCUCACUCUUCCUCACUCUUCCUCACUUGGCUCGCCUCACUCU
ensembl:lncRNA